UUGCUAAAGCUCACUUCAGCACAUACAUUAUAAUUGGAAUGAUACAGUGCACUUUAGCAUGGCCUCUGAACAAAGAAGCAUGCAAAUUCAUGAAGUGUUCCAUAUUAAA